AUUGAACGCUGGCGGCAGGCCUAACACAUGCAAGUCGAACGAGUGGCGGACGGGUGAGUAAUGUCUGGGAAACUGCCAGCUGGAGGGGGAGAACUACUGGAAACGGUAGCUAAUAAGGCCUACCGCUGGAGGUGCCCAGAUGGGAUUAGCGAGUGGGUGGGGUAACGGCUCACCUAGGCGACGAGCCCUAGCUGUUCUGAGAGGAUGACCAGCCACACUGGGACUGAGACACGGGCCAGACUCCUACGGGAGGCAGCAGUGGGGAAUAUUGCACAAUGGGCGAAAGCCUGAUGCAGCCAUGCCGCGUGUAUGAAGAAGGCCUUCGGGUUGUAAAGUACUUUACGCGGGGAGGCGUUACUCGCAGAAGAAGCACCGGCUAACUACGUGCCAGCAGCCGCGGUAAUAC
rnacentral:rRNA from 1 species